rnacentral:lncRNA from 1 species
ACAAAAUACUGAGUAUGAGCCUAUUGAUACUUAACUAAAAAUUAGUUUUAGAAGGGCUCAAGUUGCUGAAUUUCAGCUUUUCAAAUUUGAGAGUGAAGUCUCCCCCUAUUUCAUCCAAAUGUUUCCAAUUUGACCUUUUGAAUUACUCCCCCUUUCUUUUAUAGUUCAUUAAAGAUGAAACUUCAAAAAUUUGAGAUAAAGCAUUAGUUUCAGAUUAUAUAUCGAGGUGUGAAAGGUAUGUGCCAAAUUCUGAAAUUCGAUUUAAGUCUUAGACUUUAACAUUUUCAUUGUUACAAAUUUCUCCCCCUUAAAUGUACAGUCUUUCCUAAUAUAAUUUUCAACCUUGUUUGUCAACUUAUACUCUUUUCUUGCUUCUCCCCCUUUUUGUUAUCAUCAAAUAGGUGCAUGGUAAUAGAUAAGUAGACACAAUAAAUAAUAAACAGUUCAAUUUCAUUGAUCAAAAUGGAACAUUGUAAGACAUUAAUGUCAAAACAAAACAAAUACAAUGUUCCUCAAUCAAGGUACAAAGUACAUGAUCAACACAAAAUACAUAUGAGAACUAGAUAUAUAUCCUAGGCUCUAAUCAUAAUGCUAAUAUCAGCCUAGGGGGUAUCUAAUGGCUGUGAUCUAGUCCUCAUCCUCCGAGCAUAUGUGGCGAGUGGAGGUCGAGCCUGAUGGGACUGAGUCUGGCGUGGAGCUCGGUGAGCUGGAUGACUCUGUGCCGAAAUCUCUGACUUAGCUGCCUGGGGCACAGAUGGACCAUGAACCUCUCUC